rnacentral:rRNA from 1 species
GUAGGGAAUAUUGGACAAUGGGGGCAACCCUGAUCCAGCGACGCCGCGUGAGUGAUGAAGGCCUUCGGGUCGUAAAGCUCUGUUGCAGGGGAAGAACACAAUGACGGUACCCUGCUAGAAAGGAUCGGCUAACUUCGUGCCAGCAGCCGCGGUAAGACGAGGGAUCCUAGCGUUGUUCGGAAUUAUUGGGCGUAAAGCGGGUGCAGGUGGCUUGGUAAGUCAGAUGUGAAAGCCUGGGGCUUAACCCCAGAAGUGCAUUUGAUACUGCUGAGCUUGAGUGCUGGAGAGGCUAUUAGAAUUCCUGGUGUAGUGGUGAAAUACGUAGAUAUCAGGAGGAAUACCGGAGGCGAAGGCGGAUAGCUGGCCAGACACUGACACUCAGACCCGAAAGCGUGGGGAUCAAACAGGAUUAGAUACCCGGGUAGUCC